rnacentral:rRNA from 1 species
GACGAACGCUGGCGGCGUGCUUAACACAUGCAAGUCGAACGGAAAGGCCCCCAUCUUGGUGGGGGUGCUCGAGUGGCGAACGGGUGAGUAACACGUGGGUGAUCUGCCCUGUACUUCGGGAUAAGCUUGGGAAACUGGGUCUAAUACCGGAUAGGAUCAUGAUUUAGUGUCUCAUGGUGGAAAGAUUAUUGUUUUGGUCCAGGAUGAGCUCGCGGCCUAUCAGCUUGUUGGUGGGGUAAUGGCCUACCAAGGCGUCGACGGGUAGCCGGCCUGGGAGGGUGGACGGCCACAUUGGGACUGCGAUACGGCCCAGACUCCUACGGGAGGGAGCAGUGGGGAAUAUUACACAAGGGGGGCAAGCCUGAUGCAGCGACGCCGGGUGGGGGAGGACGGCGUUCGGGUUGUAAUCUCCUUUCGUAAGGGACAAAGCCGCAGUUUUUUUGGGUGUGGUGACGGUACCUAUGUUAAGAAGCACCGGCUAACUACGU